GCGUUUGUGGUUUAGUGGUAAAAUCCAUCGUUGCCAUUUGAGGAGUUUCAUCUCCUCAAACAACCUCGAUGGGCCCCGGGUUCGAUUCCCGGCGAACGCA